UCGAGCCGUAUGCGAUGAAAGUUGCACGUACGGUUCCACGAGGGGGAAAAUUUAGUAAUAGAUCGACCUAUCUCAAC
rfam:Pachysolen tannophilus NRRL Y-2460 unplaced genomic scaffold PACTA_scaffold_10, whole genome shotgun sequence.